GACAGCAAUAUAAUGAAAUUUUUUUUGAAAUUUAUUGUUUUUGAAAACCGUAUUUUAAUACCUUUUGAAUGAUUCAGAACCCUGGUUCUAAUUUCAGUUUAUUUCAAUAUUUGGUUUUAAGGGCUUUUGUAACUGAGAAAGAUCCCUUCCAGAGACAGCAGGCCCAGUGGAAGCGGCACUGUCUUACUGAAAUUUUCAAUCCUAUUUACCAGUUUCCAAAGUUAUGUUUUAUUGAAAUCUGGCUACACCCACCCCAUCUUCUCUGGCAUCGUCUCCAUCCUCGUCUUCGGACUAACGUUAGCCACCUUCUUACCUGAAAGUGCCCCUUCCGAUAAGCAAGACACUGAUGCAGCAUUAGAUGCCAGAAGUCACACGUCAGGUUCUCCCUGGAAGUCCUGCUGCCCUCCUCCUGGACCCCAUGGUG